GUCCGCGGCUGCUGCUGCGUCCGACCCCCGGCCGGCGCGGGUAUGGAGCUUGGGGGUCACUGGGACAUGAACUCGGCCCCGAGGCUGGUCUCGGAGACCGCAGAGCGGAAACAGGAGCAGAAGACAGGAACCGAGGCGGAGGCUGCCGACUCCGGUGCCGUCGGAGCCCGCCGCUUCCUGCUCUGUCUCUACUUGGUGGGCUUCUUGGUGAGUGCGAGCGUGGGGGCUGGGAGCAAGUGCUGACUGUGUUCGGGCCUGGGGACCCAGGCGGUUCUUGGAGCUUCCGGGGAGCUCCCAGGGAGUGGGAACCCGCAGUCCGCCUGGAUUUGUUUGGUGUCAGCAUGGUUGUGCCUUUAUUGAGCCUUCAUGUCAAGUCCCUUGGAGCAAGUCCAACAGUUGCUGGAAUAGUAGGCUCCUCCUAUGGCAUUUUGCAACUCUUUUCUAGCACAUUGGUGGGCUGCUGGAGCGAUGUAGUGGGAAGACGGUCUUCCUUGCUGGCAUGCAUUCUACUCAGUGCUCUGGGCUAUCUCCUUCUCGGAGCAGCCACCAAUGUGUUUCUGUUUGUCCUGGCUAGAGUCCCGGCAGGGCUCUACUUUCUGAUGUGGUUCCAGAGAAGGAACGGCCGCUUGUAAUCGGACACUUCAACACAGCCUCCGGUGUGGGCUUCAUCUUGGGCCCCGUGGUCGGUGGCUAUCUCACUGAAUUAGAGGAUGGGUUUUAUCUCACAGCCUUCAUCUGCUUUUUGGUCUUCAUUCUCAAUGCUGGUCUCGUUUGGUUCUUUCCAUGGAGGGAAGCAAAACCGGGCAGUACAGAGAAGGGCCUGCCAUUGCGAAAGACCCAUGUGCUGUUGGGAAGGAGCCAUGACACAGUGCAGGAGGCAGCCACCAGCCGCAGAGCCAGGGCCAGCAAGAAGACUGCCCAGCCCUGGGUCGAAGUAGUGUUGGCCUUGCGGAACAUGAAGAACCUGC
rnacentral:lncRNA from 1 species